AGAGUGAACGCUGGCGGUAGGCCUAACACAUGCAAGUCGAACGGCAGCACAGUGGUAGCAAUACCAUGGGUGGCGAGUGGCGGACGGGUGAGGAAUACAUCGGAAUCUACCUUUUCGUGGGGGAUAACGUAGGGAAACUUACGCUAAUACCGCAUAAGACCUUCGGGUGAAAGCCGGGGACCUUCGGGCCUGGCGCGGAUAGAUGAGCCGAUGUCGGAUUAGCUUGUUGGCGGGGUAAAAGCCCACCAAGGCGACGAUCCGUAGCUGGUCUGAGAGGAUGAUCAGCCACACUGGAACUGAGACACGGUCCAGACUCCUACGGGAGCAGCAGGUGGGAAUAGUGGACAAUGGGCGCAAGCCUAGACUCCAGCCCAUACCGCGUGGGUGAAGAGGUCCUUCGGGUUAGUAAAGUCCCUUUUGGUAGGGUAAAG
rnacentral:rRNA from 1 species